rnacentral:rRNA from 1 species
UGAGGAAUAUUGGUCAAUGGGCGAGAGCCUGAACCAGCCAAGUCGCGUGAGGGAAGACGGUCCUACGGAUUGUAAACCUCUUUUGUCGGGGAGCAAUAAAGCGUACGCGUACGCAGAUGCGAGUACCCGAAGAAAAAGCAUCGGCUAGCUCCGUGCCAGCAGCCGCGGUAAUACGGAGGAUGCGAGCGUUAUCCGGAUUUAUUGGGUUUAAAGGGUGCGCAGGCGGAAAGUGCAAGUCAGCGGUCAAACGACGGGGCUCAACCCCGUCUCGCCGUUGAAACUGUCUUUCUAGAGUGAGCGAGAAGUAUGCGGAAUGCGUGGUGUAGCGGUGAAAUGCAUAGAUAUCACGCAGAACUCCGAUUGCGAAGGCAGCAUACCAGCGCUCAACUGACGCUCAUGCACGAAAGCGUGGGUAUCGAACAGGAUUAGAUACC